GAUGAACGCUGGCGGCGUGCCUAAUACAUGCAAGUCGAGCGAACAGACGAGGAGCUUGCUCCUCUGACGUUAGCGGCGGACGGGUGAGUAACACGUGGAUAACCUACCUAUAAGACUGGGAUAACUUCGGGAAACCGGAGCUAAUACCGGAUAAUAUAUUGAACCGCAUGGUUCAAUAGUGAAAGACGGUUUUGCUGUCACUUAUAGAUGGAUCCGCGCCGCAUUAGCUAGUUGGUAAGGUAACGGCUUACCAAGGCAACGAUGCGUAGCCGACCUGAGAGGGUGAUCGGCCACACUGGAACUGAGACACCGUCCAGACUCCUACGGGAGGCAGCAGUAGGGAAUCUUCCGCAAUGGGCGAAAGCCUGACGGAGCAACGCCGCGUGAGUGAUGAAGGUCUUCGGAUCGUAAAACUCUGUUAUUAGGGAAGAACAAAUGUGUAAGUAACUAUGCACGUCUUGACGGUACCUAAUCAGAAAGCCACGGCUAACUACGU
rnacentral:rRNA from 1 species